CAGGGGAGGUGGGAUAAGUCCUGUACGCAGCAAAGUACUGUGGAAACUGGGGUUAAAACCAUGCAGUGUAAUCUUGUUGGGGUUUUGGUUUGGGUUUUUUUUUCUUUUUUCUUUUUCCCAAGAAUUUAAAUUGUUUGGUGUAGACAGAUAACCAGUUUGAAGUCAUGUCUUUCAUUCAGCAGAGAUUUCCUAUAUGUUGUUGAUGGAUUGUAUGGUCUGUAUGUGGAGGAAGGGAACAUCAGUCACAGAGCUGAAUUCCUCUCUAGAUUACAAAUGUCAGGGGGAAUAAUUAUUUCUUAUUAAUAGGCCGGAAAAGCAAUGCAAAGUGGAAAAAAACAGGAACUUUUAUUUUACUGAUGUGAGAAGGUUCCUAGAAAUAUCUUUGUCCAGUUGUACUGCAUGAACUCAUCGAUUCUGCAUAAACAUGAGAUGGCAACAAGUGUUGAUUGCUGCUAUCAGCAAUGCUAUGCCUGCCAAGGAGAGAGUAGUCAAGGUGAAACUGUAUUUCUUGUUUGUGCUGGAAAAACCAAAGACUUCAAACACCUGAAACACACGAAAGGUGACAGGCACCAUGGUGUGCUGUGACUGUUAGAAAAUGAAAAGCUUCUUAUAAUUUAUAAGUAGACUUUACCUUCUUUUGAACUGUGGAAAAGCUCUUUUAACCAAUUAUUAACUAUGGUUUUCAAAGCAGCUGUUUGCUCCAGGAGGCAACAUACGGAGGAGCAGCCAGCCGGUGCGAUGCAGAGGAAAGGAGGCUGGGAGACUUGAUGGUCUCCCUCUCCCUCUGCCCCUGAGCUCCGCAGCAUGUUCUUCUGCUGUCCUGAGCACUCUCCUGAUCAGAUUUAUCAAAUACAAUAAGUAUUUUAUUGUAA